rnacentral:tRNA from 1 species
GCCUCGGUAGUGUAAUGGAUCAGCACAGGAGACAGGAUAUCUGUAGGUGCGGGUUCGAGUCCCACCUGUGGUU